ACUGGCGGCAGGCCUAACACAUGCAAUUCGAGCGGUAGAGAGAAGCUUGCUUCUCUUGAGAGCGGCGGACGGGUGAGUAAAGCCUAGGAAUCUGCCUGGUAGUGGGGGAUAACGUUCGGAAACCGACGCUAAUACCGCAUACGUCCUACGGGAGAAAGCAGGGGACCUUCGGGCCUUGCGCUAUCACAUGAUCCUAGGUCGGAUUACCUAGUUGGUGAGGUAAUGGCUCACCAAGGCGACGAUCCGUAACUGGUCUGAGAGGAUGAUCAGUCACACUGGAACUGAGACACGGUCCANACUCCUACGGGAGGCAGCAGUGGGGAAUAUUGGACAAUGGGCGAAAGCCUGAUCCAGCCAUGCCGCGUGUGUGAAGAAGGUCUUCGGAUUGUAAAGCACUUUAAUUUGGGAGGAAGGGCAUUAACCUAAUACGUUAGUGUUUUGACGUUACCGACCGAAUAAGCACCGGCUAACUCUGUGCCAGAAGUCCCGGUAAUACAGAGGGUGCAAGCGUUAAGCGGAAUUACUGGGCGAAAACGCCCGUAGGUGGUUUGUUAAAUUGGAUGGGAAUCCCCGGGUUCACCUGGGAACUGCAUUCAAAACUGACUGACUAGAGUUUGGCAGAGGGUGGAGGAAUUUCCUGUGUACCGGUGAAAUGCGUCUAUAUAAAAAGGAACACCCGUGGCCAGGCGACCCCCUGCGUCUAUUACUGACACUGAGGCGCGNAUGCGUGGCGAGUCACACAGGAAUAACUCCCCUGUAGUCCAG
rnacentral:rRNA from 1 species